UACGGGGGGGGCAAGCGUUGUUCGGAAUUACUGGGCGUAAAGGGCGCGUAGGCGGUUUGCUAAGUUGGAUGUGAAAACUCGGGGCUUAACCCCGAGCCUGCUUCUGAUACGGGCAGACUAGAGGUAUGCAGGGGAGAACGGAAUUCCUGGUGUAGCGGUGAAAUGCGCAGAUAUCAGGAGGAACACCGGUGGCGAAGGCGGUUCUCUGGGCAUUACCUGACGCUGAGGAGCGAAAGUGUGGGGAGCGAACAGG
rnacentral:rRNA from 1 species